GACGAACGCUGGCGGCGUGCUUAACACAUGCAAGUCGAACGGAAAGGCCCUGCUUUUGUGGGGUGCUCGAGUGGCGAACGGGUGAGUAACACGUGAGUAACCUGCCCUUGACUUUGGGAUAACUUCAGGAAACUGGGGCUAAUACCGGAUAGGAGCUCCUGCUGCAUGGUGGGGGUUGGAAAGUUUCGGCGGUUGGGGAUGGACUCGCGGCUUAUCAGCUUGUUGGUGGGGUAGUGGCUUACCAAGGCUUUGACGGGUAGCCGGCCUGAGAGGGUGACCGGCCACAUUGGGACUGCGAUACGGCCCAGACUCCUACGGGAGGCAGCAGUGGGGAAUAUUGCACAAUGGGCGGAAGUCUGAGGCAGCAACGCCGCGUGCGGGAUGACGGCCUUCGGGUUGUAAACCGCUUUCGCCUGUGACGAAGCGUGAGUGACGGUAAUGGGUAAAGAAGCACCGGCUAACUACGUG
rnacentral:rRNA from 1 species